AGUGAACGCUGGCGGUAGGCCUAACACAUGCAAGUCGAACGGCAGCACAGUAAGAGCUUGCUCUUACGGGUGGCGAGUGGCGGACGAGUGAGGAAUACAUCGGAAUCUACUUUUUCGUGGGGGAUAACGUAGGGAAACUUACGCUAAUACCGCAUACGACCUACGGGUGAAAGCAGGGGAUCUUCGGACCUUUCGCGAUUGAAUGAGCCGAUGUCGGAUUAGCUAGUUGGCGGGGUAAAGGCCCACCAAGGCGACGAUCCGUAGCUGGUCUGAGAGGAUGAUCAGCCACACUGGAACUGAGACACGGUCCAGACUCCUACGGGAGGCAGCAGUGGGGAAUAUUGGACAAUGGGCGCAAGCCUGAUCCAGCCAUACCGCGUGGGUGAAGAAGGCCUUCGGGUUGUAAAGCCCUUUUGUUGGGAAAGAAAAGCAGCAGGUUAAUACCCCGCUGUUCUGACGGUACCCAAAGAAUAAGCACCGGCUAACUUCGUG
rnacentral:rRNA from 1 species